AUCUAAAAAGCAAAAGGUUGAGCUUCUGCUUUAAAAGCGCUAGGUCGCGGGUUCGAUUCCCGCCUGAGAUG
rnacentral:tRNA from 1 species